AUGGAAGGAAGUGGGCCGCCGUUCCGAGCGAUCCGGCGGAGCAAAGAUCAGGGAGGCCUUCUUACAUGUGCUAGUCAACCGGCGAGGCUCGCCCCCAUCCUUACCCUACUGUCGUUGCUGCUCAUUUCUUGUGGAGUCGGCAGCAUCCGCUGCUCCUCCUCAACGACGACAAUUCAUGAUAACAGCACGGACAUGAUGUCGCUGCUGGAUUUCAAGCGGGCCAUCACCAACGACUCAAGUCAAGCCUUGAGAUCUUGGCACGUCGGCGUCCCCCUUUGCGGAUGGAAGGGCGUCGUCUGCAGCGGCCCGAAGCAUCCUGGGGGAGUCAUGGGGCUGAACCUUAGGAACCUAUCAUUGUCAGGCACGAUUUCACCGUCGCUUGGGAAUCUAACAUUCCUUAGGAGACUGGACCUGUUCAGUAAUGGCUUCACCGGCGAGAUACCUCCUCUCAGCCGUCUCCAAAGAUUGGAGUACCUUGACUUGGGGUACAACUCACUGCGAGGGAUCAUUCCGGAUAACCUCACAAACUGCUCCAAUCUACGGGACUUAUCCCUGUCCCGCAACUUACUAAUAGGAGAAGUUCCCAGCGGUAUAGGCCGCCUAUCCAAUCUAGUGUCGUUACAGCUUGGAGGAAAUAAUCUCACUGGAGAAAUCCCACCAAGCCUAAAAAACAGCAGUCAACUUGAAAACAUCUGGCUUGCUGAUAAUAAGCUUGCCGGAACCAUUCCUGAUGAGUUGGGAAAACUACCAAAUCUUUCUGAUUUAGACCUUGAUGCAAAUCAGCUAUCAGGUGGAAUCCCAGAAACCCUGUACAAAUACAAUCGGUCUUCUCUCCAAUAUUUAACCUUAGGUUCCAAUAUGCUUGGGAAAACACUGCCAUCUAACUUUGGUGAUACCCCCCUGAAUCUUGAAGCCCUCGAAUUGGAGGAUAACAAUUUUGAAGGCCAUCUCCCAGCGUCACUAGGCAAUAUUUCAGGGCUAUUUUUGUUGGACAUGUCGUUCAACAAUUUCGUUGGUCAAGUUCCAAGUUCUUUUGGUAACUUUGGAACGUUGGAUUACCUAAACCUUCGGCAAAACAAUUUGUCGGGUUUCAUCCCAAUAGAGCUCGGCGGCUUAAAGCUGCUCAACCAUCUGGAUAUGUCUGAUAAUAGUCUGCAAAGUGGAGUGCCAUAA
rnacentral:rRNA from 1 species